rnacentral:rRNA from 1 species
GCCAGCAGCCAUAUCACUCUGCAACUCACAACUGGCAACCCACUGAAGCUCAGCAGGUGUGAGCCUGGUCAAUACCUGGAUGGGAGACCUCCUGGGAAAAACUAAGGUUGCUGCUGGAA